UACGGAGGGAGCUAGCGUUGUUCGGAAUUACUGGGCGUAAAGCGCACGUAGGCGGCUUUGUAAGUUAGAGGUGAAAGCCCGGGGCUCAACUCCGGAACUGCCUUUGAUACAGCACGUCUUGAGUCCGAUAGAGGUGGGUGGAAUUCCUGGUGUAGCGGUGAAAUGCGCAGAUAUCAGGAGGAACACCGGUGGCGAAGGCGGAUCUCUGGGCCGAUACUGACGCUGAGGAGCGAAAGCGUGGGGAGCGAACAGG
rnacentral:rRNA from 1 species